rnacentral:rRNA from 1 species
GAUGAACGCUGGCGGCGUGCUUAACACAUGCAAGUCGAACGAAGCACUUUAACCUGAUUCUUCGGAUGAAGGUUUUUGUGACUGAGUGGCGGACGGGUGAGUAACGCGUGGGUAACCUGCCUCAUACAGGGGGAUAACAGUUAGAAAUGACUGCUAAUACCGCAUAAGACCACGGAGCCGCAUGGCUCAGUGGGAAAAACUCCGGUGGUAUGAGAUGGACCCGCGUCUGAUUAGGUAGUUGGUGGGGUAACGGCCUACCAAGCCAACGAUCAGUAGCCGACCUGAGAGGGUGACCGGCCACAUUGGGACUGAGACACGGCCCAAACUCCUACGGGAGGCAGCAGUGGGGAAUAUCGCACAAUGGGGGGAACCCUGAUGCGGCGACGCCGCGUGAGCGAAGAAGUAUUUCGGUAUGUAAAGCUUUAUCAGCAGGGAAGAAAAUGACGGUACCUGACUAAGAAGCACCGGCUAAAUACGUGCCAGCAGCCGCGGUAAUACGUAUGGUGCAAGCGUUAUCCGGAUUUACUGGGUGUAAAGGGAGCGUAGACGGCUGUGUAAGUCUGAAGUGAAAGCCCGGGGCUCAACCCCGGGACUGCUUUGGAAACUAUGCAGCUAGAGUGUCGGAGAGGUAAGUGGAAUUCCCAGUGUAGCGGUGAAAUGCGUAGAUAUUGGGAGGAACACCAGUGGCGAAGGCGGCUUACUGGACGAUGACUGACGUUGAGGCUCGAAAGCGUGGGGAGCAAACAGGAUCUGAUACCCUGGUAGUCCACGCCGUAAACGAUGACUACUAGGUGUCGGGGAGCAAAGCUCUUCGGUGCCGCAGCAAACGCAAUAAGUAGUCCACCUGGGGAGUACGUUCGCAAGAAUGAAACUCAAAGGAAUUGACGGGGACCCGCACAAGCGGUGGAGCAUGUGGUUUAAUUCGAAGCAACGCGAAGAACCUUACCUGCUCUUGACAUCCCGGUGACCGGCAUGUAAUGAUGCCUUUUCUUCGGAACACCGGUGACAGGUGGUGCAUGGUUGUCGUCAGCUCGUGUCGUGAGAUGUUGGGUUAAGUCCCGCAACGAGCGCAACCCUUAUCUUCAGUAGCCAGCAUUUUGGAUGGGCACUCUGGAGAGACUGCCAGGGAUAACCUGGAGGAAGGUGGGGAGGACGUCAAAUCAUCAUGCCCCCUAUGAGCAGGGCUACACACGUGCUACAAUGGCGUAAACAAAGGGAAGCGAGCCUGCGAGGGUAAGCAAAUCUCAAAAAUAACGUCUCAGUUCGGAUUGUAGUCUGCAACUCGACUACAUGAAGCUGGAAUCGCUAGUAAUCGCAGAUCAGAAUGCUGCGGUGAAUACGUUCCCGGGUCUUGCACU